rnacentral:rRNA from 1 species
UACGUAGGGACCGAGCGUUGUCCGGAAUCAUUGGGCGUAAAGAGCUCGUAGGCGGCCUGUCGCGUCGACCGUGAAAACCCGCAGCUCAACUGCGGGCUUGCGGUCGAUACGGGCAGGCUGGAGUUCGGUAGGGGAGACUGGAAUUCCUGGUGUAGCGGUGAAGUGCGCAGAUAUCAGGAGGAACACCGGUGGCGAAGGCGGGUCUCUGGGCCGAUACUGACGCUGAGGAGCGAAAGCGUGGGGAGCGAACAGG